UUAAUAUAAACUGUAUCUAUGACUCUUAAAAAAAGUUUGAAAAAAAUAUUGUCACUUCCCCCGUUCUCCUUUGUUUCGCUCAUUUGACUUUAUCUUUGUUCUUUCGACUUUCUUUCGAAUUCGUUCAUCUAAAAGAGCGGUUUUCAUCCCUGUGCGUGUACUUCCCGCGACAUUUCUUAAGCACUUGCUGUAGUGCUCCGUUAGUCCACUGGGUUCAGGCAUUUGUAAGUGAGUAUGUCGUUUGGCAAUCGGACGCUGGUAAUGGAACUCUUCUUGCUGACAUCGCUAAAGCUGCAUUCCUUAUUGGAUUACAAUUCUUUCUUCGUUUCUAUUUUGUUGAUAUAACGGCCCUGGUCGGUCCCAGUUUUUUUGUAUUUCAAAUAGUUGGCUUUCAAGUUUUUGGUACAUAUAAAAAUAUUUAGUUUAUGCGUAGUAGUUUAUUUUUAAGUAAAAAUCUCAUUUUUUUCAUAUCGUUUGUAAGAGAACAUUAGGAGAAAAUUGUUUCAUCCAAAAUAAUCAUUUGAAAACACGUUCCAAAUGAACGUUUUACCUAACAACUUAAGCUUUCGUGUAAAGUUAUUUACUAAACAACCACUACAACUUUCUAAUUUUGUAUGUUAUUGUUUCUCCUGGAAAUAAGUAUAUGUAUUAAAAGUGCUAUGUAUAGAUUUAUAACACUUAGUAAUAAGUAGCAGGGAAUUGGUUACAGAAUAAAAGAGUAAAUGACUUUUUCCGCUGUUGAUUUUCAGUUAUGCAAUCUAGUUAGUUUUAUACAUAUGCUGCAUUAGUGAUUGAUUAAAUUGUGUAUACUUAGAUACUAAAGACACAACUAGUGUGAGUGAUCAUGGCAGGUUGAUAAAAGAUAUAGACAGUACUGCAACUAGAUGUAGAUUGUGGUUUCAUCUUUUGAUAUGGUUGCUGGUUGUGGAGCAACUGAAUCAUACACUACACUGACCUUGAGUACAAUAUCACGUCACUUUCGGUGUUUACGUGAUACCAUUAGUGGCCAAAUUCAAGUGACUCAAAGGAGCCCUGGAGAACAAGAGCUAAUACCUCGUCUACGCUAUGUUGAUGAGCAGCUUCGACAACAAAAGGCACUUCUGCAAUUUGGUGUAAUGCGACAAGCUUGGAGGCCUCAGAGGGGAUUUCCUGAAACCUCUGUUUCAAUACUUCGAGCAUGGCUCUUUGAGCACUUCCUCCAUCCGUAAUUCCCCUGUUUCCAAUUUUCAUUUGGUUCCAGUUAUCCAAAGGAUUCAGAGAAAACUUGCUGGCUAGACAAAUUGGUUUAACAAGAAACCAGGUACGAUAGUUAAUAUUUUUCUCAGUUGUAGAAGAUUGUAUUAGUGCAUGUUUGUGAAUGAUUACUUGUGUUGAAUAAUCACUCUUUUUCGAAGCUGACAGUAAAGAGUAUAUAAUGUUUACACGAACAUUUAUAAGUUGACAUGUAUGGUAAGUUUGCUAAUUUUUAUGAUAAUUAGGUUGAAAGCAAUACCGCUGUUAAACAUAAAAAGUAGUUAUUCCAACAUAAAUGGAACAAAUUAAAUGUCUACAUUUAUUCCUAGAAAAUUUGGUUUUGAUGAGGAUCCAACAUUAAAAAUCAAUGACCCCCUAAAAUUUCAGUCUUGUCGAUGUUUGCUGGCCUCCAUUUGAUUCAUGUCAGGUGGCAAAUUGGUUCAUUAAUGCAAGGGUGCAGCUUUGGAGCUGCAUCACUAAUCGUGGGCUUAAUUUCUUCUUACUAUUGGAUGACUUCUAUGUUACUAAUGCUGUCAAUCCUCUGAUCAAUCAAGCUUCAAUUUCACAUUAGAAUUCACUACAACUACACUUCAUCCCUGGUUCUAUCUUCCUUAUCUCAAUUUUACUUUUUUAGUAUCUGUUUUUGAUAGAAUGAGUUAGUAUAGAUACCAUAUUUUGUUUCUUCUUAGAUAAUAGGUAGAUUGGUUUAUGUACAGUUUUAUAUUGAUGAAAUGAAUUUGUUUACUCUAGCUUGAUUGUAGUUUUGUUUCUGUAAUUGAAUUUUGCUAGUUCAGUGAAUUUUCUUUUAAUUAUAAUAUGGUACUAUAGUUAAAUUAUACAUCUUUAAUCUUAAUAACUAGUUAGCUUUAGUUCUAGUCUUAGUUGGGUGUUCAAAACUUUAGGAAUUAGUUUGGUCAGUUUUUAAUUGUUGAUUCUAGGAUUUGUUAGUUGUUGUCCUGUUUUGACUAAGUUUUAGCUUGUUUUGUAGGUUCAUAUAGUGAUAUUUUGCAUUCUUAGUUUUCUAGAAUAAAUAGUUGUCAUAACAGUACUCUUUUAUCAUUCAUUUAUAACUUGCUUAUUGUUUUAAAGUUGAAGGAACUAAUUUAAAUGUGAUUGUGUUUCCUUUUCAGCACAUUGGCAGUUUAGGAUUAAAUAAUAAUAAAAUAAUUAGGGUAAUAUAACUUCCUGGAUGAGUUUCAUUUGUAUUAUUUAAUUUCUUUGUUCAGGAUCUUCAAGUGUAAGAAUUCAAUUGUGAUUUGUUUCUUGUCUUGUUCAGCCAUGCCAUACUCGAAGCCACUGAGGAAUUGCUUUUUUCUCUAUUGCCUCGUAUGCAUCUCUUUUCCACUUUCUUUACUUUCUUUUUGACACUUGUACAUUCCUAAGUAAUUUUGGUUUCUCGUAGCUUUUAUGAGUUUUGGAUUUAUCGUGAAAUUUGACCGUUACAAGAUGCAAUUGAAAUUAUUCAAAGGAGAGAAUUAAGUAUUUUUUUAGUUUUAUAGUACUUUACAAUAUGUAAUCGAAAUAAUUUAGACGAAAUAAUUAUUUUUUUUUGUUUUAUAAUACUGAAUUCCUUUUUUUAUUUUCUUAGGUGUAGAAAAUUUGAAACGUUGUUUUCUUAGUUCUGACUUCAUUUUCUUAGUUCUGACUUCAUUUUCUUAAUUAUCGAGAGUAUUAGACAAUUUUCUUAUAACUCCCCAGACGCUGUGGCUGCGGACGGCUCAUCCAUUAUCUUAGUAGUGACGCCAUGCUUCUUGUUGGUUGAGCUUUUACGUGAAGGCAAUAGUUAUGUGGAGAAAGAGACCAAGAUGGAGAUCUGGUGAAACCUUAGUUUUUUUUUUAAUCGUUGCAUUUGUUAUUAGUUUUUCACGCAUUGAAUUUGUAUAACUUACUAUUAAGAGUUUAAAUUGUAUAUGGUAUAUAGUUAUUAGAUGCACAAAAUCUAUUUGGAGUU